rnacentral:lncRNA from 1 species
CCAACCUCACACAUCUUGAGGUCCUAGAUGUGUCUGAUAACACCUUCAGAAUACCUUCCCAAUUUGGCAAUCUCUCAAAGUUGCAAUAUCUUGAUGUGAGUUGGAAUUUUUAUCCCAAUGUGGAUCAUGCAUGGUUGUCACGUCUCUCUUCGUUGAGCCAUCUUGACAUGAGUUCUGUGGAUCUUGGUUCUGCGAGGGAUUGGUUUCAGAGUGUUAAUAUGCUUCCUUCUCUUAAAGUGAUUGGCUUGUCCAGUUGUGGACUCAACAGCACCAUGUCUGCUAGUAUAUCACUUUCCAACCUCACACAUCUCGAAGUCCUUGAUAUGUCUGGUAACAACUUCUAUACUUCACUCAAGCAUGCAUGGUUUUGGAAUCUCAAAAGCCUUAAGGAGCUUUACCUCUCCUAUUCCAACUGGAUAGGGUCUAUUCCUAGUGAUUUGGCAAACAUGACGGCCCUUCAAGUCAUAGAUUUAAGUGCGAAUCAGCUCGUGGGUUUGAUACCAGAAAAAUUGGAAAAUUUGUGCAAUUUGACCAGAAUGAGGUUCAGUGGUAACAACAUAGGUUCGAGCAUAGGGGAGUUCAUGAGGCGAUUACCAAAGUGCUCAUGGAAUACAUUGCAAGAAUUUUCGGUGCAGGAUGCAAAUAUGACCGGGAAUCUACCCAGUUGGAUUGGUAACAUGACCAAUCUCAGUGUUCUUCAUGCACCUGAAAACAUGUUGAGUGGCCCUCUACCUGUAGGAGUUGGAGCACCGAGUAAUUUGAAAUGGCUGAUCCUUGGGAACAAUAACUUCAGCGGUGUGCUCUUGAAAGAACAAUUUGCAAAUUUAGGAAAAUUAGAGCUUUUGGACCUCAGCCACAAUAACUUCAGCGGUGUGCUGUUGAAAGAACAAUUUGCAAAUUUAGGGAAAUUAGAGUUUUUGGACCUCAGCCACAAUAACUUCAGUGGUGUGCUAUUGAAAGAACAUUUUGCAAGUUUAGGCGACUUAAAGAUUUUGUACCUUAGCUGCAAUAACUUCAGUGGUGUGCUCUCCAAUGAACAAUUUGCAAGUUUGGGCAACUUAAAGCUUUUGGACCUCAGCGGUAAUAACUUUAGUGAUUUUCUCUUGAAGGAACAGUCAGCAAGUUUAGAUAAUUUAAAGCAUUUGGACCUCAGCCAUAAUAAAUUAAAUAGUGUGCUCGUGGGGGAACAUUUUACAGGCCUAUUAAAUUUAAAGUAUCUGGACUUGUCGUACAACUCUGUGAGAUUAGCUAUCAACCAAAAAUGGGUUCCUGCAUUUAGGUUGAGUUACGCAAUAUUCCGGUCAUGUCAAUUGGGCCCUAGAUUUCCUGAGUGGCUUAAAUGGCAAUCUGACAUUGAUGUCCUUGUUCUCAGUAAUGCCAAUCUUGACGAUGUGAUUCCUGAUUGGUUUUGGGUUACAUUUUCCCGAGCUUCCUUCUUGCAAGUAUCAGGAAACAAAUUGCAUGGGUCAAUACCAUCAGAUCUACAACACAUGUCAGCUGAUCAUAUAUAUCUUGGAUCCAAUAAGAUUACAGGUCAAGUCCCACAGUUGCCUAUAAAUAUAGUACGACUGAACCUAUCUUCAAACUCUUUAUCUGGUUCAUUGCCAUCAGAGUUAAAUGCUCCACUACUCGAAGAGUUGUUGCUUGCAAACAAUCAAUUCAUAGGCACCAUCCCGUCGUCUAUAUGCCAAUUGACUAAACUGAAAAGGUUGGACCUAUCAGGAAACCAGUUAACAGGAGAUAUUAUGCAGUGCCAAAAGGAACUUGCUCCAAACUCUACAGAUCAAUUUGGCUCUGACAUGCUGAGCUUAGCCUUGAAUAACAAUGAUCUCACUGGUGAAUUCCCUAAAUUUCUUCAAAGGUCAUCAGGAUUAAUGUUCCUUGAUCUUUCUUACAACAGGUUAUUUGGAGGACUGCCAGAAUGGUUACCCCAAAAAGUGCCACAGUUGAAAAUAUUAAGAGUGAGAUCAAAUAUGUUCAGUGGUCAUAUUCCUAAGAGUCUCACUUCCCUUAAUGGUCUUCAUUAUUUGGAUAUAGCACACAACAACAUAACAGGAAGCAUGCCAUGGUCUUUAUCAAACCUCAAGGCAAUGAUGACAGUGGUGUCGCAGGACACAGGGGAUUACAUUUAUGAAGAGAGCAUCCCAGUAAUCACAAAGGACCAAAAGCGUGACUACACCUUUGCAAUUUACCAGUUACUGGUAGUUCUUGAUUUGUCAAGUAAUAGUUUGGAAGGACAGAUUCCAGAGGAGAUAACUUUGCUCAUUGGGCUUACCAAUCUGAACUUGUCAAACAAUCAAUUCACAGGAGCAAUCCCAAACAAAAUUGGUGAUUUAAGGCAGUUGGACUCACUCGAUCUGUCCUUCAAUGAAUUUUCUGGUGCAAUACCACCAAGUUUGUCAGCUUUAACUUAUUUGAGCCACUUGAACUUGUCGUACAACAAUCUGUCCGGUGCAAUACCAUCCGGACAACAGCUGCAAGCUCUUGAUAACCAGAUGUAUAUCUACAUCGGUAACCCUGGUCUUUGUGGAGAUCCUGUUAGCAGGAACUGCUCAACACAUGACGCAGAGGAAAGUGGCCUCGAAGAUAUAGAUCAUAUGCCAUCUGUUUAUCUUUCCAUGAGCAUUGGAUUUGUGGUGGGUCUGUGGACAGUUUUCUGCACCAUGUUGAUGAAGAGGACAUGGAGGGCUGCCUUCUUCCAGUUUGUUGAUAUGAUGUACGACAUAGUUUAUGUGCAAGUUGGUGUAAGGUGGGCUCACAUGAUGGAGAAAACUCAAGACGGUGCACCAUGAAGUGCCCAACUCCACAACAAGCGAAUUUUUUGUAUCCAAAUGCUAUUUGUAUGUUGGCACCAUAUCUCUAUUUGUAACCCUAAAGGGGCCUUGGCUGGAGGUAUGUAUUGUACUGAUGUACUGGUAUUUUUAUGUUUGUACUGUAACAAAUGAAGUGCAUAUGUCUGUGAAUUAUUUAAGCUGAAGUCAGCCAUUGUUCGCUCGUCGUUGUGCACUGCAUGGAGAAAGAUACAGCCCCAUAUGGGUACUCUGUCUUUUUCGGGUUCUUCAGUUUGCGUUGUACUUUCCCUAAGAGUAAUAAUUCAUUGGCAUAGCUAAAAAAUGACACCAGUUGGUCAAUAUGUGAACAUACUUGUUUGUAAUAUAUUCAAGAGGCAAGAGGUAGAAAGCUUUGUUCAUCAUCAGUGCUUGUAGAUUUAUUCAUGCUAAUCUGAAGCUGCCAUUUGAGCAGACAUUUUUUAAUCAACUCGACCAUGCCCACCGAGGGUGUGUUUGCCAGCGAAGUGGAGAAGCUCAAGUCCGUCCAGUUAAAUGCCUCGGAGCAGGUGGCCCUGGAGCCCUUUGAUCAUGACCACGCCUGCGUCGUUGGGGUUACACGAUGCCCAAGAAGCAAAAGUGAAGUUAAGAAGAAGAAAAGAAGUGGCUAUGUAAUUCUACAGUCUCUUAAUUUCAUGCCAGAGAUGUAAUUUGGAGUAUAUUUGCACUUUGGGAAGGAGCCACCAUGAAUGUUUGCAUGAUCCUCUGCCUGUGCUAGUUUCUGCUUUGUUACAUGCAAAAUCAAGAUGCGUGUUUACAGCUGCUAGCUGUCUACGGAUAGUACUGACUCGUGUUACAGCACCCAUGAAGCCGAAGAUGAUGCCGGUGAUGAUGGAGCAGUGUCGUAGGAGAGCUGUCCAGGGGCGUAGCCGUAGCCGUAGGGAGCAACGCCGUACGGGUUCUGGGCGUAGAACGCAUGCGGCGAAGGUGUGUGCCGGGGCGCAUAGCCGGGAGCAGCGUAGCCGGGCGGCGUGCGGCCGAGCAGCCCCCCUUGGCCAUAGGGCCACAUCUGGAUGGCGCCGUUCCAGGGAUGCUGCGGUGAGGGCCAGGCAGGAGUAGCAGCCUGCGGGGUCGCGGGCGCCGGGGUCUCCUUGGCGGCUCCAGCGGUGGCCUUCUUCUUCUUCUUUCCUUUUCCAGGAGCCUUGCCAGCGUUGCCGGUGUUGCUAGGGUUGCCGGCGUUGGUGAAGAGGGCCGUGUCCGAGUUGCGGGCGCGGCGGUUUUUCCGCUUCAUGUCUUGGAGCGCAAGCAACGAACGACACUGCGCGAAGGUCAUACCGGGCAUGAGGGAGAUGAGAUCGGCGGCGGCCUCGUAUUGCUCGGAGAGGCCGUUGAGGCAGUGGACCACCAUCUCGGCAUCAUCAACGGGAGCGCCAAGAUCUGCAAGCCCGUCGGAGAGGGACUUGACCUUCUGGAGAUAGUCGGCCAUACUCAUCUCUCCCAUCUUGACAUCGCCAAGCUCGGCCGUAAGGUGGAGUUGGCGAUUGAUCUUGUGGUCGUUGAAGAGACCAUUGAUGUUGUUCCAGAGAUCGACGGCGAGGGGAUCGUCGCCGGGCGUCAUGACGGCGUCGAGGAUGCUGAGCAAGACAGACCCAUAGAGCCAAGAGACGACGGUGGCGUCGAGGAGAGACCACUCCGGGUUCGGCGCAUCGGGAGCAUCGACGUCGAGGUGAUCCAGGAGGGCGUACUUGCGACAAGCGGCGCGGAAGAAGGUGCGCCAUUGCCGGUGGACGCCGGUGUCAAGCGCGAGCUCGACGGGAACGUGGCCUUUGAUGGAGUGGAGACCGACGGCUUGGGCGUGCAGCGAGGUCAAAGAGAAGGACCCCGCGCUUGUCCCUGAUCCAUCGGCGGCGGUCGCGAGAGGCAGCUUUGCUUUGGCGGCCUCGGCGGCCUCGCGCUCCUUGGCGGCGGCCAGCGCCUGGUUCGUCGCGUCGGCGUCGGGUUGCGACAUGGAGGCGGCGGUGUGGGCGCGGCGGCAAGGGAGAUGGUGGUUUCGGCGGCAGCGGAAGGAGGAGGAGGGCGGCACAGGCUAGGGUUAGGUUUUUAGGCUCUAUACCAUGUAAGAUUGGGGAAACCACACGUUGUGGUGCCUUGUAUUGAUCUAUAUAUAUGGGUUACAAGGUAGAGUUCGUAUCAUACAAUAUACGGACAGCUAUACAAGGACUACACAUAUACAACCGUAUAUCUGUACAAAACCAAUACGGUUAUAUAUUCUAACAUAUAUAAGGGUCUCUGUUUCAGCAAAGCACCCCCCUGGAUCAGCAGCCUGCGCAAGGUUCGGUCACAUUGACAUGUCAAGUGGACAGAAAUCAAGAACCACCAGGUGCUCCCAAAGUGUAUGGAUCGAACGAACACUAAAGCCUCGAAUCAGCUCAGCAGAGAGAUGCUCUGAUUUCACUCGUCAUCUAGAAAAUGGGAUUCUGAAUCGACAAAUUCAGGUUGUUUACUGAAUAAGGUUGUUAACUGCAUCCAGUGUCACAAAUUCAUGUUGCGUGUGUGAUGCCAAGUCUGAUCACAGAACUUAGCUUCUGGCAUCAGUAUAACACAUCCAAAAUACCUAUUGCUGAUACACUGAAGUUAUACGUACUAAAUAUUUUCUAGAGAAAAGGCUAGAUCCCAACUUUAUAGAUAAAACUAACGAGUUCACAUCACCGAAUACAACCAGCAAUAAGUUUUAAGGCGAACUACAGCAACCAGAGCACAUAACCAGUUUUGAGUGGCACGCAGGCCAACAACCAGGUACCAAAAGAAGCAUCUAAACUACGAUCUGACCACCACUAAGAAUAAGAAGGAGCCUGCAUUCUUGGAGAUAGAGAAGUCAUCGAAGCCCGAACGCAAGAGAUGAGCAGGUCCGUGGCAUCGACAUCCCAGCCCCUAACCAGAGGCCUCCACUGCUCAUAAGAGUUAGAAAUUUGAAGAUCACAUCAGCCGGCUUCGAGGGAAAACAUGUUCGAUGGUAAACUUGUUACGACUAGUCCAUAAAGCCUAACUCACAGCAGCAAAACCAAACCAGAACACACGACAUAGCUGAACAGACAUUGAACUGAUGAGCGUAAGCACUUGGGAGAAAACAGACAGAGCCCAGUUAAACCCCAACCACGACCGCGUGCAGCUCCACAUGAGCACCGCAAAGUCGCAACAAAGAAGAUAUGAUCAGUGUUUUCUGGUCCAGAGCAAAGAUAACAAGUGGUGGCAGCCCGAGCAUUACGUUUCCUAAGUUGAUCUGCUGCCGGGAGCUUCGCACGAAUAGCUUGCAAAGGAAAAAUCCUAAUUUUUAGAGGAACAUUAGCUUUCCAAACACCCUUGAACUUAGAGGUAAAAGAACGAGAAAUGAGUCUACAGUACAAAGACUUCACCGACAAAAGGAAAACCACCAUUGCUUUCUUUAGUUAUAUACAUGUACUUUUCUGGACAAAGGGAAAUUUUGACUUCUUGAAAAAGGAACAAAAAUAUUGGAUCCUGGCAAUGUCGAGCUUUCUCACAGCAAACACGAGAAAGGAUGGUUGGAUAUGCUUGCACCCUAUAAGUUGUGCUUAAAAGGAAAAUCAGAUCCUGUUGUUCAUUAUAUUUGCCUGGAAGUACACUGUUUGUCUUUGUUCCUUUUUUUUUGAAAAGGAGGAUGACACAUGCAGCCAUUUUAUUAAUUAUUCACCAAGAACUUACAAGGAGGAUGCCUUCUUCCAAUUUAUUGAUAUGAUAUAUGACAUGGUUUAUGUGCAAGCGGCUAUAAGGUGGGCACAUGUGGUGGAGAAAACUCAAGACGGUGCACCAUGAAGGGCCCAACUCUGCGGCAAGCAAGUUGUUUGUAUCUAAAUAUUAUUUGUAUGCUUGCACCAUAUCAAUAUUUGUAUCUCUAAAUUAGCCUUGGCUGGACUCCUGUACUGUAUUGUAUUGAUAUUUGUAUGUUUGCACCAUAUCUCUAUUUGUAGCUCUAAAUGAGCCUUGGCUGGAUGUUUGUACUGUACCGUAUUAGUAUUUUUAUGCCUGUACUUUAACAAAUGAAGUGUGUGUGUGUNNNNNNNNNNNNNNNNNNNNNNNNNNNNNNNNNNNNNNNNNNNNNNNNNNNNNNNNNNNNNNNNNNNNNNNNNNNNNNNNNNNNNNNNNNNNNNNNNNNNNNNNNNNNNNNNNNNNNNNNNNNNNNNNNNNNNNNNNNNNNNNNNNNNNNNNNNNNNNNNNNNNNNNNNNNNNNNNNNNNNNNNNNNNNNNNNNNNNNNNNNNNNNNNNNNNNNNNNNNNNNNNNNNNNNNNNNNNNNNNNNNNNNNNNNNNACAUAUAUAUAUGUUUUGCUCGAUUGUUUAAGCUGAUGAAAAAAAUACAGCCAUAUAACUACCUUGUGCCUUUUUCAUGUUGUUCGGUUUGCUUUUGUAUCAUCUAUUCCCAGAGAGUGACCAUUCAUUUGUAUUAUCUAUUCUCAUGUUCGUUAAUAUAUUUGAGAAUAUAUUUGUUUGUAAGAUAUCUCUGAAGGCAAGAAGAAGGAAGCUCUGUUCAGUAUCAGUGCUAGUUGACUUAUUCAUGCAAAUCUGAAGCUUCCAUUUGAGCUGAUGUUUCUUUAUUUUGGUGAGGCAAACUGUAUCGACUCGACCAUGCCCGCCGAGGCUGUGUUUGCCAGCGAAGUGGAGAAGCUCAAGGCCGACCAGUCCAAGCUCUCCAAGGAGGUGACUCUGGAGCCCUUUGAGUGUGACCACGCCUGCAUCUUUGGUGGUUACAGGAAAAUAAGUGUAUGUGGUAUAAAAUUCACUGGUGUGCACGAUUUCACAUUUAGAACAAAGAAACUAAUUGUAGCAGUCACAAACCGUGUCGUAUCCCAUAGUCAGCACUAACGUCUGUAAUCUUCACCUAUUAAACUUGUUUCCAGGGGAAGUCUUCAGUUGUUAAUUGAAAACCACCGUUUAAACUUUUCUUCCAGUGGAAAAUCGGAUGAACUGCAGCAGACGUUUUGGUCUCCGGUUUCAUGCGGACUCACACACUUAAAGCAUCCGAAAAUGCACGAGUCUGCAAAUGAAAACGUUUUGGUCUUCGGUUUCAUGCUGACCCACACAUUAAAAAAAAAUCUGAGGGCAGCUUCAUAUCAUAUAUGGAAGUAAAAGACAAUGCUGAAGUAGAGGCUCCCUGUUUCGCAAACAGACAAGGAAAGCGGAUACUCCCUCCGUUUCAUAAUGUAGUGCCUAUAGAUUUUUGCAUAAGUCAAACAUUACAAACUUUAACCAUAUCUAUAGAGAAAAGUAGGCACAUCUAGAAUACCAAUCGCACAUCAUUGGGUACAUUGUGAGUUAUAUUUUCAGAAUGUACAUGUUUGGUAUUGUAAAUAUAGACAGUUUUCUCUAUACAUUUGGUCAAAGUUGGCAAAGCGGAUACUCCCUCCGUUUCAUAAUGUAGGACCCCGACUCAAUGCCACAUCGAUCUAGCAUGUAACACCUCAUAUCACUUUGCGGCCUCACGCACGGUAUUCCCACGGGUGUCGCCUUAUCUUUGCCCGGGACCGUUUGCGCCUUUUGGCACACGUAUAUGACAGUGUCGCUAGCAUCCAUAUGAUAAGGAGCCCGGGCUGACAUGGCUAGUCGUAAACCCAAAGUGGCACAGACUUACAGGGACAGGCAUCCAUGACCCAGCAUCGAACGUGUCGGUCAUCAGCGAGUGAAUCCAGGCUGUAGCACUGGGCUAGCAGGACUCCGGUGAACCGGGCUGUAGCGGGCUAACAGGACUCCGGUAUUCAUCGCGUGACAUUUCCCCGAAGGGACAGACACAGGAACGAAGAAGGACACAUGCCGGCCAGCCUAGGUGUUCCGGAGCAGUAGCAAGCUACCAUGGCUCGGUGGAAACACUAGGAGACAUUUCCCCGUAAGAGAGGCUACUAAAGAUAAACAACUAGAUGGUCAGAUCCCACACAUACCAAGCAUUUCAAUAACAUACACACAAUAUGCUCGAUAUGUGCAAAUACAACAUGGCAUCACAACAUGACUCUACGACUCAAGUAAUUUAUUCAUUAGGCUCCGAGGAGCGAGAUAUUACAAACAUGGGUCUUAUGACCCAACAAUCAGAGCAUACAAGUCAAAGCACAUGCGGAAGCUUAACAUGUCUGAGUACAGACAUCUAUAAAUGAAAAAGGCUGAGAAGCCUGACUAUCUACCAGAUCCUGCCGGGGCACAAGAUCGUAGCUGAGGUAACAAGCUAAACGUCGAAGUCCACGCGAAACUACUAGUGAGACCGAAGUCUCUCAGCAAAAACAUAAAAUAGGCAAACGUGAGUACAAAUGUACCCAGCAAGACUUACAUCAGAAAUAUAUACAUAUGCAUCAUUAUCAACAAAGGGGUGGUGGGGUUUAACUGCAGCAAGCCAGCUUUGACUCGGUGGCUAUCCUGAACUACGUCUGCAAUGUAACUCUUUUGAGGUGGCGCACACGAGUCCACAUAUUCACCAUAUCAAUACACCACUAUGGAACCGCUCCCGUCUCCCUACGAAAACGCCAUCCAUAGCACUCACGCUUAUCUUGCGUAUUUUAGAGUAUCCACUUUCACUUGUCUAUGAACUGAUAUAAGCAACCCAGAAGUCCUUUACCGCGGACACGGCUAUUCGAAUAGAUGAUGAUAACCCUGCAGGGGUGUACUUCUUCAUACAUGUUUCCACCACUUAGCGUCUGCACACGACAUGUGCUCGGUAGACUUCAAGCGAAAGCCGACGUGGGUGUAGACCACGACCUACCUAAACACUCAAGUCUCUAGUCCAGGUUUAUCGCCUAUUCGGGUUCCAUCCAUGAGGAGAUCCGGCCGGAGUUUCGCUCACAGCCCCAAACGAUGUGAACAGGGUUCCGUGACACCAAACGGGCGCCCGGUAUACCCGGCCACGUGCCUACCGCAUCACAACCCACCCCUACGGUCAGCGCUGUCCACGGCCUCCAGCAUACUACAAACACCAGAAACUACUUGCAACUCCUGGACAGAGGACAAGGGUGAAUAAGAAGUCGAGCGGGGUCAUAUUUCAGGGCCCAAUGUAUGGUAGUAGCUGAAUCAUGGAUCACAAAUACAGAACUCAGUUCCUGAGGACGGCUGCAAUGAGACAACCCACCAUGUACUCCUACAUGGCCUCUCACCGCUACCUUUACCGAAACGUGUUCACACACUUAGCUCACACACAGUAGGACAUGUUCACACGCCUCUGAUUCAUCCCCGAUGAAUCAGACCUGACACAACUCUAAGCAGUAGCAGGCAUGACAAACAAGCAUGAAUGAGUAGGCACAACAGGGCUCAAACAACUCCUACUCAUGCUAGUGGGUUUCAUCUAUUUACUGUGGCAAUGACAGGUCAUGCAAAGGAUAAAGGGGGUUCAGCUACCGCAGCAAGUAACAGAUGAAUCGAUGUUGUCCUAAUGCAGUAAAAGAGAGCAGGAGCGAGAGAGUGGGAUUUUAUCGGAAUGAACAAGGGGGUUUUGCUUGCCUGGCACUUCUGAAGAUAACAUUGAGUCUUCAUCAGUGUCAACGAUCACAUCAUCGGUAUCGCGUCUAUCGAGAGGGGACAAAUACCGGCAACACAGAAAGGAACACAAUCAAUGCAAUGCACAAUAUGAUGCAUGCUCAUGACAUGGCAAUAUGAAUGUGUUUUGAGCUAAUGCAACUAGCAACAGAUUAAAUGAAGUUGGUUUGAAUAUAAUAUUCAAAUUCAAACUCCAUGUGUGAUUAAUUAAAUGCCCUUUAUAUGAUUUGUGCUAAACAGCAGCUAUAAGUUGUUCUAACAUGCAUGAAAAUGGUACAGAUGGAUUCCUUGAAUUUUUCUGAUAAUUUUUCAUAUAUAAAUUAUUUAAUUUGGAGUUACGGUUAAUUUUCUAUGAUUUAUUGAAGUUUAGAAUAUAUUCUGGAAUUAUCCUGAUUAAUAUUAAAUCCAGAAAUGAUUAUGGCGUCAGCACCACGUCACAGUGACGUCAGCAGGGUCAACCGGGCGCCCCAGGUCAAACCUGACGUGUGGGGGCCACACGUCAGUGACACAGGAGCUAAUCCCGGUCAAACCCAGCGCUAACUGAGGUUUGACCAGGGGUGGGGCCCAUAGUCAGUGGCCUAGGGGUUGGUUAGGGCGUCAUUAGCGCUAAUUAAGCGUGCCACAUCGGCAGUCGCCGGAGUAUCGCCGGCGACGACCCAAAACGCGGCGGAGACGCACCGGGGUGGCUCGGGUUUCGUCUAUACUGCACCGUUCGGUGCGCCCUUUGGCUCUACGGAGAGCUGGCGCGAUGGCGCGUCGGAUGGUCGUGGUCUCCGGGCCUGGGUGGCCGGAGUCGACGGCGGCGAGCUCGGUUGCGGCUGCCGGAGCUCGGGUUCGAGCGGGGCGAGGCCACAAAGGACGAGAGGGAUGGCUAAGGGGCUCACCGAGCUCCUGAAGAUGCUAGGAGCACGGUGCCGUGCUCGGUUUCGAGCCUUGUUGGCUGCAGUGACGGCGGCGACAUCGCCGGCGGCGUGGAGUUCUCGGCCAAGGCGGGGCUAGGGCCUAGAGGUCGAAAGAGACCAUGGGAGAAGGGGAAGACGACUCGGGGGCUCACCGUGAGUCCGUUUGGAGGGUCAGUGGGCUCGAGGGCGGCCGUAGUGCAACGAAUCGACGGCGACGAUCCCCGGUGGCCGAGGAGGGGAACGGCGACGUGGACGGCGAUGCAGGGCUCCCGGCGUUGCGUAGCUCCAUGGAGAGGUCGGGGGCGUCGAGGCGGAGCUUUCGAGCACGCUGGAUGGGCGAGGGAGGGCUGGUGGCCACGGUGGUUGCGAGCGACGUCGGCGGCGACGGGGCUCCGCUCGGUGGAGGAGAGAGGGAGCCAGAGAAAGGGGGGAGAAGGCACGGGGAGAGUGCGAGGCCUGGGAGGGUGCGUGGCGUCGCGGACGGGGUCCAGAGCGACGAGAGGAAGCAGGAGGUGGCCAGGGGGAAGCAGGAGGUGGCCAGGGGGAAGCAGGAGGUGGCCGAGGCCUCUCGGGCGCGCGCCACGCCUCGCCUCUGUUCGUCCUCCUAGCAGAGGAGGAAGAGGACAAGGGGGAACGAGGUGGGCUGGGCCGGCCAGAUGGAGCUGGGCCAGGUAAGUGGCGCCAGGUAGGUGGCCCAGGUGGCCUUCUCUCCCUCUCUUUUUUUUUAGUUUCCAUUUUCUAUUUAUUUUUCUGUAUUUGUUUUGAUUUAGUUUAGCAACUAAACCAUUUUAAUAAAUUCUGUAGUUUAUUAUGUGGCUUACUAAAAUAUAUACAAAGCCACUCACAAACUUCCAGAAUUAUUUGGAGUCAUAUUUAAUAUAUAUUAAAUAUAAAUCCAAAGCAAAUAGUUAUUGGAUUAAUACAAAUGGCCAAAAUAAAUAUCUCUGUGACUCCAAAAAUAUUGGUUUAAAUUUUACCUCUCACCAAUAUUUCCAUGGAAUAACAGGAACAUUUUCUUGGACUCAUUUGACGAAAUUUAAAUGUUGGUUAUUUUUAGAGGUCUUCUGAGGCUUUGAAAAUUCCUCAAUUCAAUUUCAUUUGAAUUUAAACAUGAUGCUCACAUGAGGUCUAGCCUAGUGCAUAACAGGACCAGGGAUGUGACAACUCACCCCCACUAAACAAAAAUCUCGUCCCGAGAUUCAAGCUUAGGGUAAGGUGAAGGGGGAACGCAAACUAGCACAAUCUUCACGAUCCAGGUUGCACUUCAUAGGAACGUUGAUUCGAUCACCAUCAUUGUCUCGAAGUCUUUCUCUAAGAAAUCCUGUCAACAUGACAUGGAGGGAAGAAGGAGACUCUAGAAGGGUCGAUCUUCUCGAAGAUCGAACAACUCACGGAAUGAGACAUAGGACCAUCUCUCGGGUUGAGACACGAGAUACACAUCAAGAGGGGUGGAGAGAAACGGAUGACGAAGGUUCACUAGGUGGACAACGAUUCCACACCUAAGAAGGUGGUGAACGGUUGUCAACGUAGCGAGGAGUUGAGUUGCCAUGAUACCACAAUGAGACACCUUCGGAACCGUGACUCGUAGAUAUCUCCCCUUUAAGUGGCAAAAAGAAUUACCUUUGAUAUAGAUAUCAUUGAGACUCUCUAUAUCAGCCUAAGGCAAAUCACAGCAAUCGAUUGGUGGGGGUCGGUAGAAUGGCAUACUCAGACUUGGAUGAUGUGGAUUACCUUGUUGAAGACAACGUAAUGGAUGAUUUUGCUUAUCACCGGAAAUGGAAGAGACCCAUGGUAGAAUGGCACAUUGGCGGUGCAAGCUGGGAACAAAAUGCAAAUGCUGGGAAUGAUCCUGGUAACUGGGGAAGAACCCAACAAUAGAGAGUGAAUUCACUGUUUGAAAAGAUCAUAGCAUUACCGAGGAAACUAAGAGGAAUCCCAGUUAGUGCCGAUGAUAACUCGUAGCGCUUGUGCGUGCUCUCAAGAACUUGAGCAUUUCCAUAUUCAUCAAGGUUUUACCAACAUCCGUGUCAAGGGUCCGGUAACACAACCUACUACCAUGAUGAAUGGUGAUGGAGGAUGCAGAUGCAAAGGAAGAUAACACUUCUCAGAUUUCAUCUUAGCGGGGCCAAGGGAAUAAAAUCUGGAUGAUCGACCGAGAGACAUUUAGCACUCCGCUUCUAAUGUUCUCCUUGAUGUGCUAGUAUAACCCAUUCAUAGAUAUGGUUUGAUAUCUAAAACAUCAAGUAAAAGGUCGGACUUCGGGAACACAAAAUCCAUAGGGGCAACUAGGGAGUAAACCCUACGAAAUCCCUAUGGGGAGGUGGCCAACUUCAUCAAUCAAGAUAUUAUAAUAACAGGUCUUCCGGCUGGGUGUGUUGGCCACGACAUCCACUUUACCGGUUAUCGCGCGACCAAUAUUAUAAUUUUUGGGAAAUAUUCCAACCAUCAUAUCUGCCUGAGAUUCAGAUCUGGUUGGUGUCAGGAUAUUCCAGACUCAUCGAGUCUAGGAAGGAAAAAAGAAAGUUUGCAACACAAAUCGACGAGAUGACGUUGCGGGAUUCUCGGGAGAUGAACUACGAUAGCAAGCUCCAAAACAUGAGCUGGUUCUGCUACAAACAUGUGAACACGUUGUCCCAGACAAGCAUGAACACGUGGUAGUCUUAUAAUAAAACACUACCGAGUUCAGGUGGGGAACCAUCAACGAGGAUAUCAAAAUCCUUGCAUAAGGUAUACUCUUAAGAAGGAACUUCUUCUCCUUGAACAAAUCAAUCAGUGGCUUGGUGUGCUCGGAACACAUAUGGAAUGAAGGUUGCAAGUCUCCAAACCAUAGGAUACUUCGCACAUAUGCAUGACUGACUUGGGAAGAUUCCAGAGGAAGCAAAACUAGCCUUCUCAAAUUCACGGCGGCAACUUUCACCAAUGCACGUGUAUAAGAGGAAGUCACUCCUUUCAUCAAACAAAUACUUCAUGAGCUAGCAUGAAGAAAAUGCUUCAAAAGUUUCCAACACUAGCUUAAUGUUCAGCAAAAUUAUGGAGAAGACAAGGAUGUUGUCAAUGGGCACAACAACAAUUCAUCUGGGUUUCCUUUUAAAAGGAAUUCCAUAGUUAAGUGAACAAGUGAUAGCAUUGGUCAGACCCAAAAGAUAUAAUGGUGUAUGCUCGAGGGAUCAACCACGAGUAAGACAAUAUUACGAAUAUCGUUGGUUCUGGUCUGAUUGGAUGAUAGCCCAUACUCAAUCAAAGGUUUGGGUAAGAUAAUAGAUCCAACAAUUGUUCACAAGGACCAAUUGAUGAAGAUAUCAUCUUUCUUCAACACACACACACACACAAAAAGAUAUCCCUUAACAUGAACUAAGUCGGACAAGCUUUUAUCUUCCAACUCUCCAAGUUGUUGUUUAGCUUAUCCAACUAGCUCAGGGUAUCCAACACGGAUUCUUGGAGAAGGGGUGGUUUACAGGAAUAAACCAACUUGAUCACGAACUCAACAUAGCGGUCAGGUGACAACCUGGUAAUACUUCUGAGAAGAUAUUCAGAAAAUCACGAACCACCGGUAUGUUACUAAGCUCGAGAACAAUCUUGCUUUUCAGGGCAAGACGAUAUGAUCAAUAGAGCAAGGAUUUGAAAUAAUCCUAACUCAUCGAUCGAGGAGUGAACCAGGAGAAUGGACUAGGUAGCAUGAUCAACCUUAGAAUGAUGAUUCAAAACCAACACGCUAAGAAUGAAAUUAUUGUCCAUUAACUACCAAGCAACAAGGUUGCUAGGAGUAUUGAAUUCACACAUCACGAUUCACUUGUCGACAUUCCGGUUAUAACCACACGGAACCGAGGAAUGAGUAAUGAUGGAGAGAAGUAUCACUGUACCAGUAGUUCAUAGGAUGGUGUGCAAUUCCUAUAACAAUCCCGAUAUAAAGAUGGUAAUACUCCAAGGUAGAACAGAACAAAAGCUGGAUUAGCAAUUUGCUCUGCGGAGCACAACUUCUUUGACCCAAUCCUGGAUAUGGAAGAGGUACUGGAGUUUGUUUCUCCUAGUCAUUCCGCGAUAGAAUGGCUUGACGGACCACAAGAGUAAUAGGCAUCGAUAAACGAACGCACACAUACCCUUGACUAUCAAUUGAUAGACGAGGGUCAGAAUGCAACUAAAGAGAACAACUCAAAGGAACAUAUAAUUUUUUGAGUUGUGGAUGCAUAGAUUAGUAUGUCGAACCAAGUUCAACAUAUUUCUUCCGGAUAACCCAUGCAGAAAGGUAGAACUGGCAGAGUCACGAUUUAUGAAUGGAGAACUCCUCAAGAAUAAUCCUGUUGUGAUAUUUCAGUUCAACGAGGAACUUCUGCCAUAAGUAGUUCAUGGUAUUUGGAAGAAGAAGAUACCACGGACUUCAAGGACUAUCGCAAAGGUUACUAAUAUCCUAAAGGCGCUAGCAAUUACUAUCAACAUGAAGUAGGUAGAGUGAAUCUCGGGUUCAAGAACCCAGGAACAGAAUACCUAUUACUAAGUAGCAUCACGGGAUGCUUUCGAGAAUGAUGGCCAGAAUCAUCACACUGGGACACCAAUCAUGGCUAAAUUACUAGGUGAUCCCCUAAGACACCUAGGGUCAUAAUACCAGCUCCAACAUAUAUGUCAAGGCAAUAAAGUACCUCAACUCACCGAUUAGUGUGGUUAAUCUGGCCCAAAGGAACAUCGAAACGGGAGGAAGGAAUUUGCAAAUUGCAUCAGAUUGUAUAGAAACCUGGGAUGACUCGGACAGCAUAACGGCUGUAAAUGCUCAGAAAAGAUUUGAGACAUUCACAAAAAUGGUGGCAUAACCACUCAGGAGCACAAUAUCAAGGUUUCGAGAUCAACAGUUAACAUACAAAAGAUAGUAGGAACUGAACUGAGGCUUGAAUCAACAAUCUUAUAAGUCUACGGAUUAGUAACACGUGAUCCUGAUAGAAAGAAGAGAUAGCCUAGUUCUUAAUCCCCGUAGGAAAGAUAAGAUGACUCAGAUCAGAAGGGCAUAAAGUAUAAGGAGUAAAAGAGCCUUACGUUCCAUCCCACAAUCAAUUCCCUUAUAUAACUAAAGAAUUUCUAGACUCAACUUCGACCAGUUUGGCUUGGUAAUCCUACAGGCAGUCAAGCUCUGAUACCAACGCUGUCAGGACCCCGACUCAAUGCCACAUCGAUCUAGCAUGUAACACCUCAUAUCACUUUGCGGCCUCACGCACGGUAUUCCCACGGGUGUCGCCUUAUCUUUGCCCGGGACCGUUUGCGCCUUUUGGCACACGUAUAUGACAGUGUCGCUAGCAUCCAUAUGAUAAGGAGCCCGGGCUGACAUGGCUAGUCGUAAACCCAAAGUGGCACAGACUUACAGGGACAGGCAUCCAUGACCCAGCAUCGAACGUGUCGGUCAUCAGCGAGUGAAUCCAGGCUGUAGCACUGGGCUAGCAGGACUCCGGUGAACCGGGCUGUAGCGGGCUAACAGGACUCCGGUAUUCAUCGCGUGACAUUUCCCCGAAGGGACAGACACAGGAACGAAGAAGGACACAUGCCGGCCAGCCUAGGUGUUCCGGAGCAGUAGCAAGCUACCAUGGCUCGGUGGAAACACUAGGAGACAUUUCCCCGUAAGAGAGGCUACUAAAGAUAAACAACUAGAUGGUCAGAUCCCACACAUACCAAGCAUUUCAAUAACAUACACACAAUAUGCUCGAUAUGUGCAAAUACAACAUGGCAUCACAACAUGACUCUACGACUCAAGUAAUUUAUUCAUUAGGCUCCGAGGACAUGCGGAAGCUUAACAUGUCUGAGUACAGACAUCUAUAAAUGAAAAAGGCUGAGAAGCCUGACUAUCUACCAGAUCCUGCCGGGGCACAAGAUCGUAGCUGAGGUAACAAGCUAAACGUCGAAGUCCACGCGAAACUACUAGUGAGACCGAAGUCUCUCAGCAAAAAUAUAAAAUAGGCAAACGUGAGUACAAAUGUACCCAGCAAGACUUACAUCAGAACUAUCUACAUAUGCAUCAUUAUCAACAAAGGGGUGGUGGGGUUUAACUGCAGCAAGCCAGCUUUGACUCGGUGGCUAUCCUGAACUACGUCUGCAAUGUAACUCUUUUGAGGUGGCGCACACGAGUCCACAUAUUCACCAUAUCAAUACACCACUAUGGAACCGCUCCCGUCUCCCUACGAAAACGCCAUCCAUAGCACUCACGCUUAUCUUGCGUAUUUUAGAGUAUCCACUUUCACUUGUCUAUGAACUGAUAUAAGCAACCCAGAAGUCCUUUACCGCGGACACGGCUAUUCGAAUAGAUGAUGAUAACCCUGCAGGGGUGUACUUCUUCAUACAUGUUUCCACCACUUAGCGUCUGCGCACGACAUGUGCUCGGCAGACUUCAAGCGAAAGCCGACGUGGGUGUAGACCACGACCUACCUAAACACUCAAGUCUCUAGUCCAGGUUUAUCGCCUAUUCGGGUUCCAUCCAUGAGGAGAUCCGGCCGGAGUUUCGCUCACAGCCCCAAACGAUGUGAACAGGGUUCCGUGACACCAAACGGGCGCCCGGUAUACCCGGCCACGUGCCUACCGCAUCACAGCCCACCCCUACGGUCAGCGCUGUCCACGGCCUCCAGCAUACUACAAACACCAGAAACUACUUGCAACUCCUGGACAGAGGACAAGGGUGAAUAAGAAGUCGAGCGGGGUCAUAUUUCAGGGCCCAAUGUAUGGUAGUAGCUGAAUCAUGGAUCACAAACACAGAACUCAGUUCCUGAGGACGGCUGCAAUGAGACAACCCACCAUGUACUCCUACAUGGCCUCUCACCGCUACCUUUACCAAAACGUGUUCACACACUUAGCUCACACACAGUAGGACAUGUUCACACGCCUCUGAUUCAUCCCCGAUGAAUCAGACCUGACACAACCCUAAGCAGUAGCAGGCAUGACAAACAAGCAUGAAUGAGUAGGCACAACAGGGCUCAAACAACUCCUACUCAUGCUAGUGGGUUUCAUCUAUUUACUGUGGCAAUGACAGGUCAUGCAAAGGAUAAAGGGGUUCAGCUACCGCAGCAAGUAACAGAUGAAUCGAUGUUGUCCUAAUGCAGUAAAAGAGAGCAGGAGCGAGAGAGUGGGAUUUUAUCGGAAUGAACAAGGGGGUUUUGCUUGCCUGGCACUUCUGAAGAUAACAUUGAGUCUUCAUCAGUGUCAACGAUCACAUCAUCGGUAUCGCGUCUAUCGAGAGGGGACAAAUACCGGCAACACAGAAAGGAACACAAUCAAUGCAAUGCACAAUAUGAUGCAUGCUCAUGACAUGGCAAUAUGAAUGUGUUUUGAGCUAAUGCAACUAGCAACAGAUUAAAUGAAGUUGGUUUGAAUAUAAUAUUCAAAUUCAAACUCCAUAUGUGAUUAAUUAAAUGCCCUUUAUAUGAUUUGUGCUAAACGGCAGCUAUAAGUUGUUCUAACAUGCAUGAAAAUGGUACAGAUGGAUUCCUUGAAUUUUUCUGAUAAUUUUUCAUAUAUAAAUUAUUUAAUUUGGAGUUACGAUUAAUUUUCUAUGAUUUAUUGAAGUUUAGAAUAUAUUCUGGAAUUAUCCUGAUUAAUAUUAAAUCCAGAAAUGACUAUGGCGUCAGCACCACGUCACAGUGACGUCAGCAGGGUCAACCGGGCGCCCCAGGUCAAACCUGACGUGUGGGGGCCACACGUCAGUGACACAGGAGCUAAUCCCGGUCAAACCCAGCGCUAACUGAGGUUUGACCAGGGGUGGGGCCCACAGUCAGUGGCCUAGGGGGUUGGUUAGGGCGUCAUUAGCGCUAAUUAAGCGUGCCACGUCGGCAGUCGCCGGAGUAUCGCCGGCGACGACCCAAAACGCGGCGGAGAUGCACCGGGGUGGCUCGGGUUUCGUCUAUACUGCACCGUUCGGUGCGCCCUUUGGCUCUACGGAGAGCUGGCGCGAUGGCGCGUCGGAUGGUCGUGGUCUCCGGGCCUGGGGUGGCCGGAGUCGACGGCGGCGAGCUCGGUUGCGGCCGCCGGAGCUCGGGUUCGAGCGGGGCGAGGCCACAGAGGACGAGAGGGAUGGCUAAGGGGCUCACCGAGCUCCUGAAGAUGCUAGGAGCACGGUGCCGUGCUCGGUUUCGAGCCUUGCUGGCUGCAGUGACGGCGGCGACAUCGCCGGCGGCGUGGAGUUCUCGGCCAAGGCGGGGCUAGGGCCUAGAGGUCGAAAGAGACCAGGGGAGAAGGGGAAGACGACUCGGGGGCUCACCGUGAGUCCGUUUGGAGGGUCAGUGGGCUCGAGGGCGGCCGGAGUGCAACGAAUCGACGGCGACGAUCCCCGGUGGCCGAGAAGGGGAACGGCGACGUGGACGGUGAUGCAGGGCUCCCGGCGUUGCGUAGCUCCAUGGAGAGGUCGGGGGCGUCGAGGCGGAGCUUUCGAGCACGCUGGAUGGGCGAGGGAGGGCUGGUGGCCACGGUGGUUGCAAGCGACGUCGGCGGCGACGGGGCUCCGCUCGGUGGAGGAGAGAGGGAGCCAGAGAAAGGGGGGAGAAGGCACGGGGAGAGUGCGAGGCCUGGGAGGGUGCGUGGCGUCGCGGACGGGGUCCAGAGCGACGAGAGGAAGCAGGAGGUGGCCAGGAGGAAGCAGGAGGUGGCCGAGGCCUCUCGGGCGCGCGCCACGCCUCGCCUCUGUUCGUCCUCCUGGCAGAGGAGGAAGAGGACAAGGGGGAAGGAGGUGGGCUGGGCCGGCCAGAUGGAGCUGGGCCAGGUAAGUGGCGCCAGGUAGGUGGCCUAGGUGGCCUUCUCUCCCUCUUUUUUUUUAGUUUCCAUUUUCUAUUUUUUUUUUCUGUAUUUGUUUUGAUUUAGUUUAGCAACUAAACCAUUUUAAUAAAUUCUGUAGUUUAUUAUGUGGCUUACUAAAAUAUAUACAAAGCCACUCACAAACUUCCAGAAUUAUUUGGAGUCAUAUUUAAUAUAUAUUAAAUAUAAAUCCAAAGCAAAUAGUUAUUGGAUUAAUACAAAUGGCCAAAAUAAAUAUCUCUGUGACUCCAAAAAUAUUGGUUUAAAUUUUACCUCUCACCAAUAUUUCCAUGGAAUAACAGGAACAUUUUCUUGGACUCAUUUGACGAAAUUUAAAUGUUGGUUAUUUUUAGAGGUCUUCUGAGGCUUUGAAAAUUCCUCAAUUCAAUUUCAUUUGAAUUUAAACAUGAUGCUCACAUGAGGUCUAGCCUAGUGCAUAACAGGACCAGGGAUGUGACAAAGGUAAGGACUCUGUUUUAGCAAAGCACCCUCCAUGACCAACAGACUGCUCGAGAUUCGGUCAUUCUGGUGACAUUGACAUGGCACAUGGACAUAAAUCAGGACCCACCAGACACUCGCAAAGUGUAUAGAGCGAACGAACACCAACGCCUCAAAUCAGCUCCUCGGGCCUCAGUCCCGAAUCAGCUUGACACAGAGAUACUCUGAUUUUUCCUAAUCAUGCAGAAAGCGGAUUAUGCAUCGCCGCACUUACAUUGUAUUAAUAAGCUUGAUCACUGUAUAACUCACUAACUUCCCAAGAUAAAAGGGUGGAGGAACUUAGCUUCUGGUAUCACUAUCACACAUCCAAAAUACCAAUAGCUGGUACAGAAAACCCUUUGGUGUAUACAUGACAUCCCAAAUUGAUUCUCUAAAACAUCACAGCACAUUCAGUACAGUCGCAAACACGCAUGGAACAUAUGAACAGUACAUGCUUUAAAGUGCUACCUGCGUUUGGAGGUUUUCGUUCUCCGCUGUUUCCGCGACAACCAUCUGCUCCUAAAGAACCAAACCUCGGUUCCGGCAAAGCUUCCUUUAUUACGCACAUGGCUCCGACUGUUCGUUCAUCCUCUUCAGCACAGGGGCUGAUUUGUUUUGGGUACUGUGUGGCGUCCCUUCUUUUCCCCUACAGCCCUAUAACAUGUGAACAGACACACUUUGUUUGUAAGAUCUCUGAAGAGGCAAAAGGUAGAAAGCUUUGUUCACCACCUGUUGGUAGCCUUAUUCACGUUAGUCUUAAGAAGUUGCCAUUUGAGCUGACAUUUCUUUACUUUGAUGAGGCAAACUGUAUGGACUCGACCAUGCAUGCAUUUCUCUGCUGUAGCGAGCAAACCAAAAGCUCAGCGUACAGUCGGGUUGCCAUGUUAAGAUCGAUGGUAAUUUAGCAUGCCUCUUGAUAGACGGCAUUUCUUCUCUGUUUCACUGACUUACUGUGUGAUACUCUGCUUUAGCUCUGAAACAAUCUUAAGCCGAAGUGUGUGAUGAUCCAUUCAUUUCGGGUUAAGAAUGUACAGCCUCACAGCCCUCUUUAUCUUUCUACAGAAAAAAGUGAUGAGGAGCAUAAAUCUUCAGCCACAAAUCUUUAGCUUUUUCAAAUUCAAGAUGCAGCUUGCUGUCAAAGGAAGGUGGUUGGAUCUCAAGACUCGGCAAACUGAACAAAAGAAGGCAGCUGGUUGUUGGGGUAGAUAAAAGCAGAGAAGCUUCUCUCCUGUGGACCAGCCUUCCUCCUCUGCUCCUCAUCUCCUUUGCCAGCCUUCCAUCUGCACAUCAUCGAAGCUCCGCAUCUUCCUCUGCUCCUUGUCUGCUUAGCCAGCUCCGCAACCUGGCUUCGACUACUCAUUGAUGAAUUCUUGUUCCCUUCUCCUAGUACUUUGCUGGUCCAGCUUUGCCAGUGAACUUUGGAGAAUCUGUGUUGAUCCCUCAUAGAGCUCGUGUUAACUCCUGUGAGAAACUGAUGCAUAUACUUUGUGAGCUCGUAGGCUAUCUCUAUUCCUGAUGAUGACUCGACUGUGCUCAGUAGUUUAUUCUUUAUAGAUCUUCUGUUUGCUGCCGAUGUGAAGAAAACUACAGGAGAUUGCUACUGUAGUUUAGUAGCUCCUGGUUUGUAAUUAUGUCCUUGUGACGGUUUCUGUCUGCAUCCAAAAACUAUGUGUUUUGAGCAUUCAGAACUGAAGGAACGCUCGCCAGUUUUCCAUCAAGUUGUUGCAGUAUGUUUACAGCAAGAUGCAAAUUAUAAUGCUAACACAUCUUGUUGGUAGUAAAAAAAAUCCCUCAUUUAUUCCACCUCUUAUUUGUGUUUCCUUGUUUCAUCAAAAUUUUCCCUCCUUUAUUCCACCUCUUAUUUUUGUUUCCUCUCCUACACUACCAACACAUGCUUUGAAAUGAAGUAAAAUUCUGAAUGCAUUCUUUGAAGUGAUGCACACGGCUGCAACCCCUCUCCUUCUGGAGGCGAGCUGCCACUGCGGCGUCCUGCGUGGCGGGGCGGAUGGGGAGCGAUGCGCACCUCUACGACGCGGCCGCCUCCUUCACGGCCCUCUUCGACUGCUGCUUCGACGCCGACGAUCUCGAGCGCUGAAGCCCCCUCAUUGUCCUCCACUUUCCCCGCAGGUUCGCUUUCUAUUUCACAGAAAUAGCGCAGAGCAAUUCAGGCUAAGAAAAUUGCUAUGACGUGCCUCACCAGUGAACGCACAAAUCAUAAUAUGCAAGCCACCCAAUUCCUAACCUUUUAAUGGAGAAAAUGAAACAGGGAGAGCUAAUUACUGAACGUGCUCGUCUGCCGUGCCGUGCUCGCCGCGGUCGAUUGUCCAAAUCAUUCGGCCAUAACUUGACUUAAGACUAGAAGAAAAGUAUGCAUGCAGUGCAAGAGAAGCAGUAUGCAUACAACAUUGUUAGAAUAUAAUUGUGUUUAAGAUAGAGAUAGGAGUUAGAGAUAGAAUAGGUUUAACAUGUACGACUUGACCUCUACUCCAAGUCUCUCUCCCUCGCAAUGUAUUCUAUAUAUACCCCAUAUGAGGAUCAGAUCAAUACAACAUACAACACAACAACAUAAUAUUAGCCAUCUCAUAUUUUCCACAUGGUAUUAGAGCGGUUAGUCUCACGACGCCGAUCCUAGCUUCCUCUACCACUUCCGCGGCGCGCCGCCCCCGGGGAGAUUAAUCUCUCUCCCUGGGGGCGCGGCAUCCGAUCGAUCAAAAGAUCAGAUCGGUUCCAUAGUUUAGAUCAAUUUCUUAGAUUAGAUCAAUUUCAAUUUUUGAAAUCCCUUAAGACCAAUUUUUCUUAGCUACAAAUAAAGCCCGACGAUCCUCAAAAUCCGGUGAAAACCAGCACAGAAAUCGCAGCGGCAUCAAGAACUUCAUCUACUCUCGCCGGCCGAGGCGUCGGCUCCGCGAGCGUCCACCUCCAGCCGCACGCACGGGCGCAGCAACACCGGGAGGGCGCACGACUAAAACAACACACGGGGCACAAGGCUGCAGAGGGAGGAGUGUGGUCCUGUUGCGCGCUGCAGCGGAAAGAGUGCGUGUCGAUCGUCCGGGAGAUGUCGGGCUGAUGCGCUCGUCCCGCCUGAAGUCGACGACGCGUUCCACCACGUCACUUGCAUCCACGACACUCCCGCUGUGACUGCGGGAGGGAAUAGAGGAGAAGACAGGGAAGGCACCAGAAGGGGAUGCAGUCAACGCCCUAGGUGUUGACCCCAUCAGAGACGCAGUUGAUGAUGGCGCGGCGGAGAAGACGACGAAAGCAUAAGAAUUCAAAUUCAGUCGUCAUCGUCCGCUUCACUCCCACUACGACUGAGGGGGAAUGUUAGAAUAUAAUUGUGUUUAAGAUAGAGGUAGGAGUUAGAGAUAGAAUAGGUUUAACAUGUACGACUUGCCCUCUACUCCAAGUCUCUUUCCCUCGCAAUGUAUUCUAUAAUACCCCAUAUAAAGAUCAGAUCCAUACAACAUACAACACAACAACAUAAUAUUAGCCAUCUCAUAUUUUCCACAAGCAUGACAAAGACCAAGACGUGGACUACAAUGGGAGUGGCCGGUAAUUGGCCACCAUGACAAAUCCUGGUGAUUUUUUUGAUUAUUUUUGCCGAUUGUGGGGAGUACUGAGAGCCAUGAGUCCUUGUAUAUUUAUAUGCCAACACUGAAAAAACUCUCUAGACCUUAAUGCUAGAUGUGUUACCUGACCCACAAUGUGCAGAUAUUAUUAGUGUAAUUGAGAUAAAUAUUACAGCUGCAGCUUCUGCCGUGCUGUGCAUGGUGGGCUGUCCGAAUCAACAAAUUUUGGCCACACCUUGAGCGUCGGAAAAGUAUGCAUGACAAGACCCCAAGACGUGGGUUGUAGACCAUACUCCCAUAUUGCAGUUGUGGUGGAACCGGGAUAGAGAUAAGCUGCUCUGUCCAUUAUCCUUUCCAUCUGCCAUUUCCAAUCAAUAUGACCAAUAUGGCUAAGCUUGUACUACUCAUCCCAGGAACUACACUACUGCUUUGUCUAUUGAUCUUCCAAGUAGCAUCCACUUCCCAUUGCCAAGCGAGUGUAUCAGGCGCCUGCAUCAGCAGCGAGCGAGAUGCGCUUCUGUCCUUCAAGGCAAGCCUCCUCGACCCUGCUGGCCAUCUCUCGUCAUGGCAGGGUGAGGAUUGUUGCCAAUGGAAGGGAGUCCGGUGCAGCAACAGAACAGGCCAUCUCAUCAAGCUCAACCUCUGCAACAUCGACAUGGACAGCUACGAGUACCGAAACAGGAUCAGAUCAUUGAGCUUGUCGGCAGGGGAGAUGAGCUCUUCUUUGGCUACUUUACAACACCUGAGGUAUGUUGAUCUGAGCGGGAAUGACUUCAAAGGCACAAGCAUCCCUGUGUUCUUAGCUUCUCUCAAGAAUCUAAGGUAUCUCAACCUCUCGCGGGCAGGAUUCGGUGGGAGAAUACCUUCCCAACUUGGCAAUCUCUCAAAGUUGCAAUACCUUGAUCUCAGUUGGAAUUAUGAUUAUUAUGGGAAUAGGUCUUACAUAGUGGAUCUUGCAUGGUUGCCACGUCUCUCUUUGUUGAGACAUCUUGACAUGAGUUAUGUGGAUCUUGGUUCUGCGAGGGAUUGGUUU